UACGUAGGUGGCAAGCGUUGUCCGGAUUUACUGGGCGUAAAGAGCGCGCAGGCGGUCGGAUAAGUCGAAUGUGAAAGCCCCCGGCUCAACUGGGGAGGGUCAUUCGAUACUGUUCGACUCGAAGGCAGGAGAGGGAAGUGGAAUUCCCGGUGUAGUGGUGAAAUGCGUAGAUAUCGGGAGGAACACCAGUGGCGAAGGCGGAUCUCUGGGCCAUUACUGACGCUGAGGAGCGAAAGCGUGGGGAGCGAACAGG
rnacentral:rRNA from 1 species